rnacentral:rRNA from 1 species
UACGUAGGUGACAAGCGUUUGUCCGGAUUUACUGGGCGUAAAGAGCGCGCAGGCGGUCGUUCAAGUCGAGUGUGAAAGCCCCCGGCUCAACUGGGGAGGGUCAUUCGAUACUGAUCGACUCGAAGGCAGGAGAGGGAAGUGGAAUUCCUGGUGUAGCGGUGAAAUGCGCAGAUAUCAGGAGGAACACCAAUGGCGAAGGCAGCACUCUGGGACGUGACUGACGCUGAGACGCGAAAGCGUGGGGAGCAAACAGG